UUAAGCAUAUCAAUAAGCGGAGGAAAAGAAACCAACAGGGAUUGCCCUAGUAACGGCGAGUGAAGCGGCAACAGCUCAAAUUUGAAAUCUGGCUUCGGCCCGAGUUGUAAUUUGCAGAGGAAGCUUUAGGCGCGGCACCUUCUGAGUCCCCUGGAACGGGGCGCCAUAGAGGGUGAGAGCCCCGUAUAGUUGGAUGCCUAGCCUGUGUAAAGCUCCUUCGACGAGUCGAGUAGUUUGGGAAUGCUGCUCAAAAUGGGAGGUAAAUUUCUUCUAAAGCUAAAUACCGGCCAGAGACCGAUAGCGCACAAGUAGAGUGAUCGAAAGAUGAAAAGCACUUUGAAAAGAGGGUUAAAUAGCACGUGAAAUUGUUGAAAGGGAAGCGCUUGUGACCAGACUUGCGCCGGGCAGAUCAUCCGGUGUUCUCACCGGUGCACUCUGCCCGGCUCAGGCCAGCAUCGGUUCUCGCGGGGGGAUAAAGGCCCUGGGAACGUAGCUCCUCCGGGAGUGUUAUAGCCCGGGGCGUAAUGCCCUCGCGGGGACCGAGGUUCGCGCAUCUGCAAGGAUGCUGGCGUAAUGGUCAUCAGCGACCCGUCUUGAAACACGGACCAAGGAGUCAAGGUUUUGCGCGAGUGUUUGGGUGUAAAACCCGCACGCGUAAUGAAAGUGAACGUAGGUGAGAGCUUCGGCGCAUCAUCGACCGAUCCUGAUGUUUUCGGAUGGAUUUGAGUAGGAGCGUUAAGCCUUGGACCCGAAAGAUGGUGAACUAUGCUUGGAUAGGGUGAAGCCAGAGGAAACUCUGGUGGAGGCUCGCAGCGGUUCUGACGUGCAAAUCGAUCGUCAAAUCUGAGCAUGGGGGCGAAAGACUAAUCGAACCAUCUAGUAGCUGGUUACCGCCGAAG
rnacentral:rRNA from 1 species